CGAACUCUGGUAUUGAUUGGUGCUUGCAUCAUGAUUUACAUUUGAGUGAGUGGCGAACUGGUGAGUAACACGUGGGAAACCUGCCCAGAAGCGGGGGAUAACACCUGGAAACAGAUGCUAAUACCGCAUAACAACUUGGACCGCAUGGUCCGAGUUUGAAAGAUGGCUUCGGCUAUCACUUUUGGAUGGUCCCGCGGCGUAUUAGCUAGAUGGUGGGGUAACGGCUCACCAUGGCAAUGAUACGUAGCCGACCUGAGAGGGUAAUCGGCCACAUUGGGACUGAGACACGGCCCAAACUCCUACGGGAGGCAGCAGUAGGGAAUCUUCCACAAUGGACGAAAGUCUGAUGGAGCAACGCCGCGUGAGUGAAGAAGGGUUUCGGCUCGUAAAACUCUGUUGUUAAAGAAGAACAUAUCUGAGAGUAACUGUUCAGGUAUUGACGGUAUUUAACCAGAAAGCCACGGCUAACUACGUGCCAGCAGCCGCGGUAAUACGUAGGUGGCAAGCGUUGUCCGGAUUUAUUGGGCGUAAAGCGAGCGCAGGCGGUUUUUUAAGUCUGAUGUGAAAGCCUUCGGCUCAACCGAAGAAGUGCAUCGGAAACUGGGAAACUUGAGUGCAGAAGAGGACAGUGGAACUCCAUGUGUAGCGGUGAAAUGCGUAGAUAUAUGGAAGAACACCAGUGGCGAAGGCGGCUGUCUGGUCUGUAACUGACGCUGAGGCUCGAAAGUAUGGGUAGCAAACAGGAUUAGAUACCCUGGUAGUCCAUACCGUAAACGAUGAAUGCUAAGUGUUGGAGGGUUUCCGCCCUUCAGUGCUGCAGCUAACGCAUUAAGCAUUCCGCCUGGGGAGUACGGCCGCAAGGCUGAAACUCAAAGGAAUUGACGGGGGCCCGCACAAGCGGUGGAGCAUGUGGUUUAAUUCGAAGCUACGCGAAGAACCUUACCAGGUCUUGACAUACUAUGCAAAUCUAAGAGAUUAGACGUUCCCUUCGGGGACAUGGAUACAGGUGGUGCAUGGUUGUCGUCAGCUCGUGUCGUGAA
rnacentral:rRNA from 1 species